GUUUCUGCUGUUUCUGGAAACAGAAACGACAGAAAUAUGUUUCUUGAAACGUUAUCAAACAUGCCCUUAAAUUUCAUUACAAAAUGGAAUUUCAACACAAAAAAGGAAAAUCCAGAUUUUGACACAAAUGACUACCAAACACAACAUUAAUUUACAAUGCGAAGACUAGAAAAUCUAAUAUGUCUAUUUGCAAUCCCCGAGUUUUUAUUUCUCUCCUUUAAUUAAAUUUUUUUCUUCCAUAGAAAACAAAUAAACAAAUAAGAAAGAGAUGGAUUGAGACCUACUCUCUGUGUUUACCAAAGAGGUGAUCUUUUUUUUUUUUUAAGGCAAGAAAAUCUACUCUCUUUAAGUCUCUAAUUGUAAAAAUGGGAUGGAGAGAUUUAGGGAUGGGAGAGAUUUUAGAGACAGAGAGACCGGGAUCCAUUGGUGGAAUGUGAGAGGAUGUGUGAAGUUAUAUCUGUAUUUUAUGUUGUGGGCUUCUUUUCCCCUAUAUAUAGAAUGGAAUACAACAGGUGUGGUAUAGUGUUCAUCUUUAAGAGAUAGAGAGAGGGGGGUGUGAUAUAGUUUUGCAGGAUGGGUUCUAAGGCUGCCCUUUUCCCUAAUCUCCUUGUUUAUUUAGUGUUUAUUGUUCUCAUAUUAUCUUCUGUGCAAUCAGCUAGGGAAAUGGAGGGAAGUGAAAAUGAUGAGAAAGUGGCACCAAAUUGCUGGCAAUGCCGCGGUGACCUAGAAGGAUGCACCCUUUUAUGUUUCAGAGAGGGGCGAAUGACUGGUCGUAAAUGCCAAAUAGAGCGUGCAAACGGGGGCCAAGCCAACUGUUGUUGCAACUGAUGAGAACAAGAACAUGAUGGGGGACACAUGUCUUGAAUUACUCUUCUCAUGAACAAAUAAAUUAAUAAUGAGCCUAUUGGCUAUCAACCUUUCUUGAA